AUCCUUGGUGGGGGUCGUGGGCGAAGUUCGUCCGCGGGACUCGGAAUGGCACCAGACUUGGCGGUAGGCUCCGUGUGCCAAAAAUAGGCGACGGGCACAGCCGCGCCCAAAAAACAGCCCCCGAAGGUCGGGGUCCCAAGACCCCCCAGCGGAAAAAUGGCCAAAAAAUGGGUGGGCUAUAGCCUUGGUGGGGGGCGUGGGCGAAGUUCGUCCGCGGGACUCGGAAUGGCACCAGACUUGGCGGUAGGCCUCCGUGUGCCAAAAAUAGGCCACGGGCACAGCCGUGCCCAAAAAACAGCCCCCGAUGUUCGGGGUCCCAAGACCCCCCAGCGGAAAAAUGGCCAAAAAACGGGUGGGCUAUAACCUUGGUGGGGGGCGUGGGCGAAGUUCGUCCGCGGGACUCGGAAUGGCACCAGACUUGGCGGGCGGCCUCCGUGUGCCAAAAAUAGGCCACGGGCACAGCCGCGCCCAAAAAUCAGCCCCCGAAGGUCGGGGUCCCAAGACCCCCCAGCGGAAAAAUGGCCAAAAAACGGGUGGGCUAUAGCCUUGGUGGGGGGCGUGGGCGAAGUUCGUCCGCGGGACUCGGAAUGGCACCAGACUUGGCGGGCGGCCUCCGUGUGCCAAAAAUAGGCCACGGGCACAGCCGCGCCCAAAAACCAGCCCCCGAAGGUCGGGGUCCCAAGACCCCCCAGCGGAAAAAUGGCCAAAAAACGGGUGGGCUAUAGCCUUGGUGGGGGGCGUGGGCGAAGUUCGUCCGCGGGACUCGGAAUGGUACCAGACUUGGCGGGCUGCCUCCGUGUGCCAAAAAUAGGCCACGGGCACAGCCGCCCCCAAAAAUCAGCCCCCGAAGGUCGGGGUCCCAAGACCCCCCAGCGGAAAAAUGGCCAAAAAACGGGUGGGCUAUAGCCUUGGUGGGGGGCGUGGGCGAAGUUUGACCGCGGGACUCGGAAUGGCACCGGACUUGGCGGUAGGCUCUGUGUGCCAAAAAUAGGCCACGGGCACAGCCGCGCCCAAAAAACAGCCCCCGAAGGUCGGGGUCCCAAGACCCGCCAGCGGAAAAAUGGCCAAAAAACGGGUGGGCUAUAGCCUUGGUGGGGGGCGUGGGCGAAGUUCCUCCGCGGGACUCGGAAUGGCACCAGACUUGGCGGGCGGCCUCCGUGUGCCAAAAAUAGGCCACGGGCACAGCCGCACCCAAAACACAGCCCCCGAAGGUCGGGGUCCCAAGACCCCCCAGCGGAAAAAUGGCCAAAAAACGGGUGGGCUAUAGCCUUGGUGGGGGGCGUGGGCGAAGUUCGUCCGCGGGACUCGGAAUGGCACCAGACUUGGCAGGCGGCCUCCGUGUGCCAAAAAUAGGCCACGGGCACAGCCGCGCCCAAAAACCAGCCCCCGAAGGUUGGGGUCCCAAGACCCCCCAGCGGAAAAAUGGCCAAAAAACGGGUGGGCUAUAGCCUUGGUGGGGGGCGUGGGCGAAGUUCGUCCGCGGGACUCGGAAUGGUACCAGACUUGGCGGGCUGCCUCCGUGUGCCAAAAAUAGGCCACGGGCACAGCCGCCCCCAAAAAUCAGCCCCCGAAGGUCGGGGUCCCAAGACCCCCCAGCGGAAAAAUGGCCAAAAAACGGGUGGGCUAUAGCCUUGGUGGGGGGCGUGGGCGAAGUUCGUCCGCGGGACUCGGAAUGGCACCAGACUUGGCGGUAGGCCUCCGUGUGCCAAAAAUAGGCCACGGGCACAGCGGCGCCCAAAAAACAGCCCCCGAAGGUCAGGGUCCCAAGACCCCCCAGCGGAAAAAUGGCCAAAAAACGGGUGGGCUAUAGCCUUGGUGUGGGGCGUGGGCGAAGUUCAUCCGCGGGACUCGGAAUGGCACCAGACUUGGCGGUAGGCCUCCGUGUGCCAAAAAUAGGCCACGGGCACAGCCGCGCCCAAAAAACAGCCCCCGAAGUUCGGGGUCCCAAGACCCCCCAGCGGAUAAAUGGCCAAAAAACGGGUGGGCUAUAGCCUUGGUGGGGGGCGUGGGCGAAGUUCGUCCGCGGGACUCGGAAUGGAACCAGACUUGGCGGGCGGCCUCCGUGUGCCAAAAAUAGGCCACGGGCACAGCCGCACCCAAAAAACAGCCCCCGAAGCUCGGGGUCCCAAGACCCCCCAGCGGAAAAAUGGCCAAAAAACGGGUGGGCUAUAGCCUUUGUGGGGAGCGUGGGCGAAGUUCGUCCGCGGGACUCGGAAUGGCACCAGACUUGGCGGUAGGCCUCCGUGUGCAAAAAAUAGGCCACGGGCACAGCGGCGCCCAAAAAACAGCCCCCGAAGGUCAGGGUCCCAAGACCCCCCAGCGGAAAAAUGGCCAAAAAACGGGUGGGCUAUAGCCUUGGUGGGGGGCGUGGGCGAAGUUCAUCCGCGGGACUCGGAAUGGCACCAGACUUGGCGGUAGGCCUCCGUGUGCCAAAAAUAGGCCACGGGCACAGCCGCGCCCAAAAAACAGCCCCCGAAGUUCGGGGUCCCAAGACCCCCCAGCGGAUAAAUGGCCAAAAAACGGGUGGGCUAUAGCCUUGGUGGGGGGCGUGGGCGAAGUUCGUCCGCGGGACUCGGAAUGGCACCAGACUUGGCGGGCGGCCUCCGUGUGCCAAAAAUAGGCCACGGGCACAGCCGCGCCCAAAAACCAGCCCCCGAAGGUCGGGGUCCCAAGAACCCCCAGCGGAAAAAUGGCCAAAAAACGGGUGGGCUAUAGCCUUGGUGGGGGGCGUGGGUGAAGUUCGUCCGCGGGACUCGGAAUGGUAGCAGACUUGGCGGGCUGCCUCCGUGUGCCAAAAAUAGGCCACGGGCACAGCCGCGCCCAAAAAUCAGCCCCCGAAUGUCGGGGUCCCAACACCCCCCAGCGGAAAAAUGGCCAAAAAACGGGUGGGCUAUAGCCUUGGUGGGGGGCGUGGGCGAAGUUCGUCCGCGGGACACGGAAUGGCACCAGACUUGGUGGGCGGCCUCCGUGUGCCAAAAAUAGGCCACGGGCACA
rnacentral:lncRNA from 1 species